rnacentral:rRNA from 1 species
AUACGGAGGGUGCAAGCGUUAUUCGGAAUCACUGGGCGUAAAGGACGCGUAGGCGGGUUGGCAAGUCAGAUGUGAAAUCCUACAGCUUAACUGUAGAACUGCAUUUGAAACUGCUAACCUAGAGUAUGGGAGGGGGAGAUGGAAUUAGUGGUGUAGGGGUAAAAUCCGUAGAUAUCACUAGGAAUACCGAAAGCGAAGGCGAUCUCCUGGAACAUAACUGACGCUAAGGCGUAAAAGCGUGGGGAGCAAACAGGAUUAGAAACCCUAGUAGUCC